rfam:Trichobilharzia regenti genome assembly, scaffold: TRE_scaffold0017601
UCCACGGCCCUUUUUAGGGCCAACAAAUGAUGAUUCCUAGAUUGUCU